rnacentral:lncRNA from 1 species
GCAGGCUCGGCUCUGUCCCAGCACUUGUCUGGGAGAAAAGUGGUGUUACUCACCCAGGGAGAGUCUCUCUUUCUACCUUCCUUCUUUCUCGAUCUCCUUGUGUGCUUUUGUGUUUCUUUAUUUCUUUUCCUUUUUUUUCUUUUUUUUUUUUUGUUACUUAAUUAUAUUCCUAAUCCUGGAUGAAGUUGCUGGAUUCUGCAGCACAAGUCUUCAUGAACAAGCAGCACCGCUCAGAGAUUUCACGGCAUUCAAAGGUCACAGAACUGCCACUAUGGUUAAAUGUCUUGUUUAAUGGUUGAGAGGUGUGGCGAAAUCUUGUUUGAGAACCCCGAUCAGAAUGCCAAAUGUGUUUGCAUGCUGGAACUGAAUCUGACCUUGGAGAGUCCACACAGAUAUCAGUGGAACGUCUGGCCGAUUGCAUGUGAGGAGCUGCUGCCAGAACUUUGCCUGAAAGCUUAAAUACCCUAUGAGAGCUGCAAGGAAUUCUGAAAAAUUACGUUGAAUAUCGAUGUUGAAGUUAAAAUACACAUAUAUGCGUGUGCGUGUACGUGUGCAAGCACACAGACACGCACACAGAAUUUUAAGCCCAAAAGCAGCACCAGAGCCAAUUCCAUGAUAUUUGUAUUAGUAAUCUUUACUUGGGCAGAAUUCACUUGAAGCUGGUGGGAUUCUUUUUCCUGAGUCAAGCCUGCAGAAUGAAGCCUGCUGGGAGUCAGCAAACCACAACAGACGUCAUCAGCUUUCUCCUGCUUCAGGAUAUACAUACUGAUCACUGCGGGGGUCGGGGGAGAAUUUUAUUUUUGCUUGCGCAGGCUUACACAAUUGUCAGCGGAUAUAACCCUUGCCUUUCUUUGAAGUGUGAGCUAUCAAAAACUAAAUAAACCAGAUGGAGCCAUUUUCUGAUUCAAGGUGACAGAGCAGACCAAUGCCUGAAUAAUAUCUCUUUUUAAAGAUGGAAAUAGAAUUACAAAUUUGCUACAACUAAUUUGCACUUUCCUUUGAAAAGGUGGAGCCCAAAAAGAAAUUUUUCUCAAGAGGCUUUUCCGCCUGAGAAUAAGUAAUAUUUAAAAUAAGAGAAAGGUUGGAAAAUUGACCACACAAUACAUGAAGUUAGCAAGAGAACGAGGGGGAAAUUGUCAACUAUGAAAGUGACAAACACUGAGUCGCUGGCAUUCAGAUAACCCCUCUUCUCCUUGCAACCAGAUAAAUAUACAUUCUUGAUUCCCGGAUUCCUUCCAUUCUUGGUGCAAUACUUGAAAAAAAAUUUGACCAGGUUUUUGGCAUUUUCAUCUUUUCUGGGAAUACUUCUAAAUGACCUAGGGGAAAUUUUCUAAACCAAAGAACAGUUUUGGCAGCAAAAACAAGCCUCAGUAUGUAUUAUGAUUGAAAAAAAGUAAUUUAGCCUUUAACUCAUGCAAGGAUCUACGAGAACAUCUAUGUCAAACAGAAUAAAAUGAAUUUGAUAUCUUU